ensembl:lncRNA
GUGGGCACAUGGCACACUGGGAGAGAAGUUCAGUUAUGUGCCAGCUUCUUUUUUUGUGGUGCGUCACGUUACCUGGCACGCUGUUUUCUGCCGGUCGACGGCGCAGAGCGGGAACGGCCGUCUGGUUUCUCCACCGUGCGCCCUGCAAGAAACCUCAAGCGCGGGCGGGGGUCACAAACCGACCGCCUCCGACGGGAUGGUUGGAUCAGCUCCAGGAGACGCCGCGACUCCGCUCCAUCCGCAUACGUCCUUCCAGGCACAGAGGGAGAGAAGAAGAGAGGGAAGUCAUUUCUCCUUAUUGGAGCGCUCCCAUGGAUGUGCACUUUCUCUCUUGUUGCUGAAUCGUGAACACUGAACUGAGGAUGGCCACUGCUGGGAAGGUUCACCACUUCACAAAGGUUCACAAAGUUUGGAUAAUGGCUGUCUCUGUGGUUCGCUGGAGUCCCAAAGCCUUAUAAAAUUUAUUUGAAACGCUUUUCAGAUGGAUUGAUGUCAGUGACUUUGAUUCUCAGCUGUUUCUUUAGAUUGUGGCAUGAUGUGCUGCUUUUUGAGAUCUUA